rnacentral:rRNA from 1 species
AGAGUUUGAUCAUGGCUCAGGACGAACGCUGGCGGCGCGCUUAACACAUGCAAGUCGAGCGAGAACCGGGACUUCGGUCCUGGGGACAGCGGCGAACGGGUGAGUAACACGUGGGUAAUCUGCCCUCGAUUCUGGGAUAGCCCCGGGGAAACCCGGAUUAAUACCGGAUAGCCUUUCGAGCUUUCGGGCGCGAAAGAAAAGGUAGCUUCGGCCUCCGAUCGAGGAUGAGCCCGCGGUGGAUUAGCUUGUUGGCGGGGUAAUGGCCCACCAAGGCGACGAUCCAUAGCUGGUCUGAGAGGACGAUCAGCCACACUGGGACUGAGACACGGCCCAGACUCCUACGGGAGGCAGCAGUGGGGAAUCUUGCGCAAUGGGCGAAAGCCUGACGCAGCGACGCCGCGUGGGGGAAGAAGGCCUUAGGGUUGUAAACCUCUUUCAGGUGGGACGAAGCCACUCGGGUUAAUAGCCCAGAGGGUGACGGUACCGCCAGAAGAAGCCCCGGCUAACUACGUGCCGGCAGCCGCGGUAAUACGUAGGGGGCAAGCGUUGUCCGGAUUUAUUGGGCGUAAAGAGCGUGUAGGCGGCCAGGUAGGUGGGUUGUGAAAACUGGAGGCUCAACCUUCAGACGUCGACCCAAACCCCCUGGCUAGAGUCCGGAAGAGGAGAGUGGAAUUCCUGGUGUAGCGGUGAAAUGCGCAGAUAUCAGGAAGAACACCCGUGGCGAAGGCGGCCCUCUGGGACGGUACUGACGCUGAGACGCGAAAGCGUGGGGAGCGAACAGGAUUAGAUACCCUAGUAGUCC